UAUGGAGACCGGUCCGCGGUAUCCCAGCAUGCCUGGACAAAGUGGUACAACUAUAAGUCCGGGCGCCUCAUGAUGACGUACACGGAAGCGCCGACAAGCUCCACCUCUUGGGGAAAGAGGGACGUGCGCUGCGCUUCCGGGAGCGCGGCGGCGGCAGUUACUGAUCAGGUUCAGCAGCUCUCGGGGAGUCUUGGACGUGAGACCGGAGCCCCCUGUCCCCGCGAGUCCAGAUGCCCAUCCAGCCCCCAGGCAAAGAAACAGAAGAGAUGGAGGCAGAAGCUGAUUCAGCUGCUGAGAUGAAUGGGGAAGAGGAUGAGAGUGAAGAAGAACGGAGCGGCAGUCAGACUGAGUCAGAGGAGGAGAGUUCAGAGAUGGAUGAUGAGGAUUAUGAACGGCGCCGCAGCGAGUGUGUCAGUGAGAUGCUGGACCUGGAGAAGCAGUUUUCAGAGCUGAAGGAGAAGUUGUUCAGGGAGCGGCUGAGCCAGCUGCGCUUGCGGCUGGAGGAAGUGGGGGCUGAGAGAGCCCCAGAAUACACAGAGCCUCUCGGGGGACUGCAGCAGAGCCUCAAGAUCCGCAUUCAGGUGGCAGGAAUCUACAAGGGCUUCUGUCUGGAUGUGAUCAGGAAUAAGUAUGAGUGUGAGCUGCAGGGAGCCAAGCAGCACUUGGAGAGUGAGAAGCUGCUGCUGUAUGAUGCACUGCUUGGGGAGCUGCAGGAGCGGAUCCAGAGACUGGAGGAGGACCGCCAGAGCCUGGACAUCAGCUCUGAGUGGUGGGAUGACAAACUACAUGCCAGAGGCAGCUCGAAGACCUGGGACUCUUUACCGCCCAGCAAGAGGAAGAAGGCACCUCUUGUUUCCGGUAUCCUUCCACUCAAGGUCACCUGAAACUGAGCAGGACAUCAGGGCAGGCCCUGGACUCAGGAAGGCCCAUACAUUGUAUACAUGCUGCAGGAGAUCGACAUCCUGGAGGACUGGACAGCUAUCAAAAAGGCCAGGGCAGCAGUGUCCCCUCAGAAGAGAAAAGCAGAUGGACCAUGAUCCCGCUGUUCACAGCCAGAGGGUCCUUGGAGUAACUGGCACCACACCCAGGACUUAGAUUUUUCUGCAAAGGCAGGGGCUGCCCGGUGGCUCUCCAGUGUCACUGCUGCCCCCUGCCUUCAGCUAUCACUGACCUGGAGCCCUUUUGUCCUCCUUGGGCCUGCAUUUCUAUGGCCCUGGAGCUGACCUGGCCAAACAAGACUGUUGACUCCAUCCCCGACCAGCCCACCACCUCCCCCUCUCAAAGAGUAGCUUCCUCAGUUUCCCCCGACAAAAAGGAUGGGCCUUGUCUGAAGCCAAAGCAACAGUCCUCCUGACCUUUGACCCUGGCCCUAGCCACUGAGCCAGGGAGCAGGUUCCUACUGCAGGAGGAGCUCUUGAGCCAGAAACAACUUGUUGGGGUCCUGCCGGACCAGACUGGAGCUGGAGGUUACAUCUGGGCUCCCCAGAUUUUCUCAGGGCCAUUCCUGGCAUCUGCCUCCUCCCAGAUUGCAAAGACUGGAAUAAAACAUUUCCUGGGACCGUGA